GGGUGUGAGCCGACGUGGGCGCGAAUGAGGGACUGCGGCUGGGCCGGCGGGUGGCGCGGGGCUCUGAGCCCGACAGCGGGGACAGGCGCGCGGCGCGGGGUCGGGGAGGGCGUCAGACCCUGGCCGCGGUGGAGGGCGGCCUAGCGGGGCUGCCCGGCGACCUGCGUCCGAGCGCGCGGAACGCUGCGCCUCGCUGGGGACAGUCCGGAGUCCGCGCUGUGGAAGAGGAGGAAUACUUGCCGGAGCUGAUGGCGGAGAAAGAGCCUGGAUCCCUGGUUUGAGCACCGUCGCGCCUUUUGGCCGAAGUUGGUGAACAAUAUUAUAUAAGACACAAGUGGACAAUACAGCGACUCACAAGGCAUUUCUCCUGGAGAGCUAGCCGCAUGUUUGCAUCUAUGUGUCGCACUCAGAACAGAUCUUCGUCUGUCUGCUCAUUAAAAUCCAGGAGCUACAGCAUAAAAGCAUAAAGAAAAGGACCCUCACACUGCAGCCCAAACUUUGCUGCACGUGAUCAAUACACGCCAGGCGGAGGUGCGUCUCCUCAAUUGUCUGUUACAGAUGUGCGUGAUGCCCUGUGUCCAGGUAGCAGCCCCUGUGCCGCGCCGGCAGGAGUGCUGUUCAUGGAAGGUUCACCUGCUACCUCGCCUCCCAGCCAGCUGGAGGCAAACCAGACUGAUAGCCCUGAACCAGCGCGGCACAGCCCUGAUGAUCUUACACCAGGCAGCCUGAUGUACUGCUCUGUCAUCUACCAAUCCCUUUCCAAUAUAGAUCCGUUCCUAAAUGAGCCGUCCCUUGUUUUGUACCAUGAGCAGUAAUUUAAAAAGCAGCACAUUGGUUUUAACUAAUAUUAUGAAGGCUUUGGAUGUGCACAUGCUUACAGCUGAGUGGGCUUCACUCAUCUUUCACUGCACAACAAAGGAUCCUGAUUAAAGUUCAGACACAGGGAAAGAGAAAUGUGUCUGCAAUUGAAUGUGUCAAAACUUAUACCUGCUCUGUUUUAUUAUAAAUCUCGUUUCAGUAUCAGUGGUGAUUUUCUUCCCUGAGUUUUCAACAAAAUGGAAAGAGCAUCCUUAAGCCCAGGAGAGAACAUAAGAAAUGGGGGGAAGUGCUUUUUGUAAAAUGCUGUUGUCCUACUAUAAAUGCAGUUCGCUUUAAAAAAUAA